AACUGCCGUCACGGCCAUAGCAGGAGCGUUUAUGUCACGGCCGUCGGAUUCUAACGAAUCGGCAAAUUCUGCU
rnacentral:ribozyme from 1 species